GACGAACGCUGGCGGCGUGCUUAACACAUGCAAGUCGAACGGAAAGGCCCUGCUUUUGUGGGGUGCUCGAGUGGCGAACGGGUGAGUAACACGUGAGUAACCUGCCCUUGACUUUGGGAUAACUUCAGGAAACUGGGGCUAAUACCGGAUAGGAGCUCCUGCUGCAUGGUGGGGGUUGGAAAGUUUCGGCGGUUGGGGAUGGACUCGCGGCUUAUCAGCUUGUUGGUGGGGUAGUGGCUUACCAAGGCUUUGACGGGUAGCCGGCCUGAGAGGGUGAUCGGCCACACUGGAACUGAGACACGGUCCAGACUCCUACGGGAGGCAGCAGUAGGGAAUCUUCCGCAAUGGGCGAAAGCCUGACGGAGCAACGCCGCGUGAGUGAUGAAGGUCUUCGGAUCGUAAAACUCUGUUAUUAGGGAAGAACAAAUGUGUAAGUAACUAUGCACGUCUUGACGGUACCUAAUCAGAAAGCCACGGCUAACUACGU
rnacentral:rRNA from 1 species